rnacentral:rRNA from 1 species
UUAGAUACCCCACUAUAAUGAGUGUUAACAAAAAUACCGAGGCACUAAGGCCAAUCAUGGCUAAAACCUAAAAAGCUUGGCGGUAAACUAAACUUUUAGGGGAACUUACCAGGUAAUAGAUAGCCCACAUGAGAAUCUUACUAGGCCUUACAGUUUGUAUACCGCCGUCUUCAGGCCUAUCCUAAAGAUAGGCCAAAAUAUUUUUCAUAAAAAGUCAGGUCAUGGUGCAGCCAAUGGACCUAGAGCUAGGCGAGUUACAAUUCUAUCCGCUCGAACAGAUGACGCUUCGAAACAGGUGUCUAAAGAUGGACUUAAAAGUAACCAAUAAAGCUUUUUGAAUAACUGGUGAAUAUUUUCUUAGUUUGUGUACACACCGC